rnacentral:pre_miRNA from 1 species
GUUGUACUCCCUCCGUCCAAAAAUACUUGUCAUCAAAAUGGAUAAAAAGAGAUGUAUCUAAAACUAAAAUAUGUCUAGAUACAUCCCCUUUUAUCCAUUUUGAUGACAAGUAUUUCCGGACGGAGGGAGUAGAUC